ensembl:snRNA
GUGUUGUAUGAAAGGAAAGAAGGUAAGCCUUCACUUUUUUGAGGAUGUAAGAGGUCCUAUUGUCUUUACAACACAUGAAGUUAAGGUAAUGCCACCUAUUCUAUGGCAUCCAAUCACAUUUUAUU